rfam:Gossypium arboreum cultivar AKA8401 contig_13200_3, whole genome shotgun sequence.
AAACCAUACAUUGGCCAUUUUCUAAUUAACUCCUUGAAUCACUCUCAUGCUUCAUGUAAUGUUUCAUCCUCAGAUUGUCGAAAGGACAUAAUAUUGUUCCUCAAUUU